rnacentral:misc_RNA from 1 species
UCUCCGUUGGUGAACCAGCGGAGGGAUCAUUACCGAGUUUCCAACUCCCAAACCCAAUGUGAACCAUACCAAACUUUUGCCUCGCCGGGGUCACGCCCCGGGUGCGUCGCAGCCCCGGAACCAGGCUCCCUCCGGAGGGACCAACCAAACUCCUUCUGUAGUCCCCUCGAACACUUUGUUUUUACAGCUCUGAGCCUAAAUUCAAAAUUAAUCAAAACUUUCCACAACGGCACUCUUCGUUCUUGCAUCGAUUAAGAACCCAGCAGAUCGGCAGAGCAC